UGUUACUGAAAGCUGACAAAAUAACUGGACUUCUACCGGAAAGAAAUAAUUAAUUCUUUCCCCAAAGCAGAGAUUGUUGUUAACUAUUCCAGAACGGUAACUGUUAAAGCAUCCACUCUCAGAGAUACUCUAAUGAAGACAGAAGGUUUAUAUAGGCUUGGCUAGUCCCCAUGGUAACAGCCUUUCUACUGGGUUACCAUAGGAAUCGUCAAAGCCUUUGUAAGCCUCCCUUAAUAGAGCAUAUACGCUUUCCAGGCAGACUGGAAUAUCUGUUAGAGGAUACACCUCCUGUUGUUAAAUAUAAAUAUAAACAGAUUUUGUUUUGGAGUGGUACUCAUCUCUGUUUAACUAGCUACGCUACUCUUUACGUUAGAGUUAUAUUAAACAUUGGAGUCACCUGUGAUACAGGAAAACAUGCGAGAACUGAAUGGUUUUAUGAACAAGACAACCCAUAUACGUUUGUACCUAGACUGCAGGGAACUGCAGGCAAAAAUACUGUUCUAUACAGUAGCCCAAACCUCAUAGUACAUUGCCCUUUCACCUUCCUGUGGACAUUGCAGAGCUUUAGUCAGUCUGAAGCCUUGCUGGACUGAAGUUAUACAACAGGAAACAAACAAGCAAGAAAUGGAGCCAAAGGAAACAAACAGAAACCUCAGCUGAAUGAAACAAGCAGAAAGCAAGCCAGUGAGUGACUUCAGCACUGUAAAAGUUCCUGCUCCUGAUAGCAAUUGCAGGAGUAUCAGCACCAGUAGUGGCUAGAGCAGCAGACAGAGUUAUCAUUCCUUGUCAUCACUUGGGUAAAUCAAGAAGCCCUCCUCAAACAUACCAAAGGCUGUUGUUUCUUGUCAGUUGCAUGGCAUGCAGCUGCCAUUACUAUUCUUCAUUGGAGUAACAUGGGAGAUGCAUUAAGGCACCUGGGCACACAGAAUGGAACAGGCCACAUUACUUCUCCCAUUAAAAUAGACCUUAGUUCUGGUUGCCCAACGUUGUGCUUUUCUUAGGCACCAGUGGUGCACCAUCUGCAGAAAGCACUAAGCAUGCGUGAAAAUUAAACUGUUUCAACUUAGGUGUCUUCCAUGCAUUUUGAAUGCUCUUAUCUCAGGCCUUAGCCAGAAGGAAGGGUGCUUGUGAUACUGGGCUUUGUGUUGGAAUGUAAAGUGAAGAAAACACUCCAUUUUUACUCACCCAGUAAAAAAGAAAAAGGAUUCUCUCCCUUCUAACUGCUACUCAAAUUUUAGAAAAAGAAAAGGCUAGCACAUUUUUUGGCACAGAAACACUUCCAGAUUGUGUCUUAUUUCUUUGAACUAUGCAGGCUAAGAUAAUGAUAUAAGGAUAAUUAUAUUUCAUGUUUGAAACUGAAGUUGAUAGGAGAGAAAUAUCCUUCUGUGUGGA